CGGGUGAGUAACACGUGGACAACCUGCCUCAAGGCUGGGGAUAACAUUUGGAACAAAUGCUAAUACCGAAUAAAACUUAGUGUCGCAUGACACAAAGUUAAAAGGCGCUUCGGCGUCACCUAGAGAUGGAUCCGCGGUGCAUUAGUUAGUUGGUGGGGUAAAGGCCUACCAAGACAAUGAUGCAUAGCCGAGUUGAGAGACUGAUCGGCCACAUUGGGACUGAGACACGGCCCAAACUCCUACGGGAGGCUGCAGUAGGGAAUCUUCCACAAUGGGCGAAAGCCUGAUGGGGCAACGCCGCGUGUGUGAUGAAGGCUUUCGGGUCGUAAAGCACUGUUGUAUGGGAAGAACAGUUAGAAUAGGAAAUGAUUUUAGUUUGACGGUACCAUACCAGAAAGGGACGGCUAAAUACGUGC
rnacentral:rRNA from 1 species